UGUGGCGAAAGUAAUUCUAGGCAACUACUUGGUUUCUGAAGUUCAAGGAGAAACCACCCACAGCAGGUGCAGAGAAAAAAAGGCAGGUGGGAGUUGCUCCCGAUGGGAAAGAGCUCCCUGCCUAUGAGUGGCAGCCGGCUCCAAGGAGCAGAAGCCAGCUUGGUCUCAGUUUGCUGCGAAGGGAUGGAGCAGGAACCACGAAAUCCUGCAAGCUUUGAAGGCCGGCGAAAGGGCUCCCCCGUCGGUGGCGCCGGAGGGAGAAGCGUUUAGUCACUGUUUCAUUAGGCACUAUUUGAACCUUGCAACAUGUGGUAAUUUCUGGGGCAAGCUGAAAAGGGGGGAUUAUGUAGGAGGGACAUAAGGAAAUUAGCCAACGGUUAAUUUAACUCGUUUUCUGCUAGACUUUUCGAUACAUUCCUAAUUGACUGAGGGGCAGGUGAAGCUCCCGCCCCAUGCAGGCUCAUUCACGGUGGGAAUAAAUGGCUCUUUCUCAACUCACACUGCUCACAAUAUAUCAUCAGGGAAAAGACAUGCAAUGAAUAUGUUGAUUUUUUUUAUUAAUGGAAUUACACCCUGCCAUGCAGGUGUGAGGGUAAAAACCUAUACUGCAAUGAAAUAAGAUUAACAAUGAAAUUAGAAUUUUAUUAGCUUUAUAUGUCACACAGACCUGGAUUUGAACUGUCAAAACAAGCAACAAGAAAAGAUAUUCUGAACGCAGCCCUGUCAAUCAACCAGGAGAAACGAACAGCGUGGUAUCGAAAUCAUAAUCACCUUCCAGUUCUUCAGCGCCUCACUUGGGCCUUACGUGAGAAGCAAGUGGGUGGAGGACCCCGCGUGGGCAAAGGCCUGGUCUCUGGACCUGCAGAUAGUAGAUGAAAAACACCACCUGGGUUCGGUAGACCCGGCCUAAAAAAGGCUCGGGUCCAGGCUAGAAGGGCCUGGAUGGCCCGAGGCCUCCAAGAUAUCAGACGGACCGGCUGGGCACCCGCGGCCUGCAGGCCAUAUUUCGCGUCCUCCAAAUCAGCUGCCUAGGGCGGGCCGUGACCCGAGGGAAUUGGAGAGAAAAGUCCAAACGCUGGGCGAGAGGCGGGGUAGGGCGCCCUUUGGAAACCGCCCUGGGUUUUGUUACUCCGGGGCCCCCGGAGCUUCGGCACAGCUACCUGGGUCUGGCAGGCGCAGAGGUGCCGUAUGCAAAUGGUUCACUAUUAGGCGAGAAAGAAAUACUUCAAAUGGCCCUUUGUAACCUUCUAUAGAAAAUCGAGGUACUCUGCAUGACAAAGCACAAUUAAGCUUUCUAUUCAGGAGUUCUGCAGCUGGUAGCCCAUUGGGAAAGUGGGAGGAAACGCGAAUAUAUUAAUAGUGUGGCGAAAGUUUUUUGUGUGCGUGUCCUUUUCUAGGUCGGGGGUGGGGAGGGGCGGUGGGUGGACGCAGAGGGAGGAAGGCUCAGCCUUGGAUCCUUGCCACCUGAACAACGUCGCCUCUGCCCACGUGGAAAGCCUCGCUUGUCUGGCAGCCGGGGUUCUGAAUGGUUGCCGCGACCCCUGCGCUCCCAGCAGGGCCAAGAGGACCUCGCGGGCACCAGCGUCCGGGCGGGAAGGGACGUGUGCCCAAGCCUCGCCUCCUGGCCCUCAGUGGGCUGGGACGCCCUUGAUCACCGGCGCAGGAAAGAGGCUCCCCAGCCCGUGAGCUUCGUCCGGGCGCCAGGGCAGGGAUGGCUGGUGGUGUGCACUGGAGAGCACGACGGUGACGCUGCGUGGGAAAGAGACGUGGGAAGGGCAUAGCCGGAUUAUCCACUCAGCUCCAAUUUUCUCCAAGCGCCACUCACCCCACAGUUGAGGUUCGCUUCCCGAUUGUUCAUUUGUAGAGUCUAAAGGGAAAGAAAAUUUUGCCUCUGAAUAAAUAAAGGGCCCUUAAAAACAACUCUGCUGAUUAUCCUGCGUUUUCCAUCUGGAUCCAUUUCGCCCUCUUCUGCCCUGCUGGGUGCCCUCGGACACUGACCUUUGUGGACAGUAUUAGUUCCUUUAUCAACUGCGUCACUGGCAGGCGCUUGCCUCUGGCUUCCAUUUGCAUUUGGUGAAUAAGUGGCACUGCAAAUAACCGAACAACCUAAGGAUAGAGAACUGCAGUUCCAAAGGUGGGAAAGUUCAAGAUCAAGGCACCAGCAUUGGUAUUUUGUGAGGGCUGCUGUCUGCUCCCAAGACGUCACCAUGUUGCUGUGUUCUCAAGUGGUGGAAGGCGGAAGAGCAAGAGAGCAAAAAGGACCUAAGCUAGUUCACUCCAUUCAUGAGGGCAGAUCCCCCAGGACCUAAUCACUUCCCAGGAGGUCCCAGCUCUUCUCAGGCCAUCCUCCUACCUUGGCCUCCCAAAGCACUGGGAUUACAGAUAUGAACCACCACGCCUGGCCACUGGUAGUUAAUUUCUUUUUUUAAAAAAAUUAUUAUGUUAAAACUUUUGUGGGUACAUAGUAACUGUAUAUAUUUAUGGGGUACAUGACAUAGGCAUGCGAUAAGCAAUAAUCACAUCAUGGAAAAUGAGGUAUCCAUCCCCUCAAGCAUUUAUCCUUUGUAUUACAGACAAUCCAAUUACACUCUUAGAUAUUUUUAAAUGUACAGUUAAAUAUCAUUGACUAUAAUCACUCUUUUGUGCUAUCAAAUACUAGGUCUUACUCAUUCUUUCUAACUGUAUACACUUUUUGUUCCCACUAACCAUCCGCAGGCUGGGCGGAGUGGCUCACUCCUGUAAUCCCAGCACUUUGGGAGGCCCAGGCAGGCAGAUCACUUGAGGCCAAGAAUUCAAGACCAGCCUGGCCAACAUGGCGAAAUCUUAUCUCUGCUAAAAAUACAAAAAUUAGCAGGUGUAGUGGUGGGUGCCUGUAACCCCAGCUACUUGGGACACUGAGGCAUGAGAACUGCUCGAAGCUGGGAGGUGGAGGCUGCAGUGAGCCAAGAUCAUGCCACUGCACUCCAGCCUGUGACAGUGUGUGACUCUGUCUCAAAACAAAAACAAAAACCAUCUCCGCUUACCCCCAACCCCUCACUACCCUUCCCAGCCUCUGGUAACUAUCCUUCUACUCUCUAUCUCCACAAGUUCAAUUGUACUGAUUUUUACCACCCACAAAUAAGUAAGAACAUGUGAAGUUUGUCUUUCUGUGUCUG
rnacentral:lncRNA from 1 species